AUGGACUGGGUGGCAUGGUGGAAGUUUUGCAUCCCCAAGAGCGAAGGGGGGAUGGGCUUUAGGGAAAUGUACUCUUUUAACUUAGCAAUGCUUGACAAACAGUGCCGGAGGUUGGUUAUUGAUCCAGACUCUGUUUGUGCGCGGUUGUUAGACACAAAAUAUUAUUCAAAUAGAAGUUUACUGGAUGCAACUCUAAAAAAUGGAUCCCCAUUUACAUGGCAAAGCUUUCUUAAGGGGCUAGAAAAAUUUAAAUGA
rnacentral:rRNA from 1 species